rnacentral:rRNA from 1 species
UGAUUGAAUGGCUUAGUGAGGCUUUCGGACUGUCCUAAGGAGAGUGGCAACACUCACCCCGGGACGGAAAGUUGUUCAAACUUGGUCAUUUAGAGGAAGUAAAAGUCGUAACAAGGUUUCCGUAGGUGAACCUGCGGAAGGAUCAUUAAUGUAACCGGACCGGUCCUCUGCCGUCAAACGCAGCGGAUGGGAAUGGGAGAUAUCAUACACCCUAUGUUUAUUUACUUUUGUUGCUUUGGCGGGCCGUCCUUUUAGGCGUCGGCCCCGGCUGAUCGCGCCCGCCAGAGGACCCAAACUCUUUUAUUAGUGAUGUCUGAGUACUAUAUAAUAGUUAAAACUUUCAACAACGGAUCUCUUGGUUCUGGCAUCGAUGAAGAACGCAGCGAAAUGCGAUAAGUAAUGUGAAUUGCAGAAUUCAGUGAAUCAUCGAAUCUUUGAACGCACAUUGCGCCCGCUGGUAUUCCGGCGGGCAUGCCUGUUCGAGCGUCAUUAUGACCAAUCAAGCUCUGCUUGGCCUUGGGGCUCGCUGUACCGGCGGCCCUUAAAAUUAGUGGCGGUGCCGUCUGGCUCUAAGCGUAGUAAUACUUCUCGCUACAGGGUCCAGCCGUCCACCCGCCAGAACCCCCAACUUUCUUAGGUUGACCUCGGAUCAGGUAGGGAUACCCGCUGAACUUAAGCAUAUCAAUAAGCGGAGGAAAAGAAACCAACAGGGAUUGCCUCAGUAACGGCGAGUGAAGCGGCAACAGCUCAAAUUUGAAAUCUGCCUCUAGGCCGAGUUGUAAUUUGUAGAAGAUGCUUCGGGUGUGGCACUGGUCUAAGUUCCUUGGAACAGGACGUCAUAGAGGGUGAGAAUCCCGUACGUGACUGGCUGCCUUCGCCCAUGUGAAGCUCUUUCGACGAGUCGAGUUG